rnacentral:rRNA from 1 species
AAUGAACGCUGGCGGCGUGCCUAACACAUGCAAGUCGUACGCGAAAGAAGGGCAACCUUCGAGUAAAGUGGCGCACGGGUGAGUAACACGUGGAUAACCUGCCCUAAAGUCUGGGAUAACGUGCCGAAAGGUGCGCUAAUACCGGAUACCUUUAUGCCUCACAAGAGGUAUAAAGAAAGGAGGCCUCUGCUUGCAAGCUUCUGCUUUGGGAUGGGUCCGCGGCCUAUCAGGUAGUUGGUAGGGUAAUGGCCUACCAAGCCUACGACGGGUAGCUGGUCUGAGAGGACGAUCAGCCACAUUGGGACUGAGACACGGCCCAGACUCCUACGGGAGGCAGCAGUGGGGAAUAUUGGGCAAUGGGAGAAAUCCUGACCCAGCAACGCCGCGUGGAGGACGAAGGCCUUCGGGUUGUAAACUCCUGUCAGCAGGGAAAAAGGCUAUAAAAGCUAAUACCUUUUAUAGCUUGAUGGUACCUGCAGAGGAAGCACCGGCUAACUACGUGCCAGCAGCCGCGGUAAUACGUAGGGUGCAAGCGUUAUUCGGAAUCACUGGGCGUAAAGGGCGCGCAGGCGGUUUUGUAAGUCUAAAGUGAAAUCCUUGGGCUUAACCCAAGGCUGCUUUAGAUACUGCAAAACUCGAGUUCGGGAAAGCAAGCGAAUUCCUUGUGAA